rnacentral:rRNA from 1 species
CUCCAGAGUGGAUCCUGAGUACGGCGGAACACGUGAAAUUCCGUCGGAAUCCGGGAGGACCAUCUCCCAAGGCUAAAUACUCCCUAGUGACCGAUAGUGAACCAGUACCGUGAGGGAAAGGUGAAAAGCACCCCGGAAGGGGAGUGAAACAGUUCCUGAAACCGUGUGCCUACAAGUAGUUAGAGCCCGUUAAUGGGUGAUAGCGUGCCUUUUGUAGAAUGAACCGGCGAGUUACGAUUUGUUGCAAGGUUAAGCGGAAAAAGCGGAGCCGUAGCGAAAGCGAGUCUGAAUAGGGCGCAUAAGUAACAGGUCGUAGACCCGAAACCAGGUGAUCUACCCAUGUCCAGGAUGAAGGUAAGGUAAUACUUACUGGAGGUCCGAACCCACGCACGUUGAAAAGUGCGGGGAUGAGGUGUGGGUAGCGGAGAAAUUCCAAUCGAACUUGGAGAUAGCUGGUUCUCUCCGAAAUAGCUUUAGGGCUAGCCUCGAGGUAAAGAGUCAUGGAGGUAGAGCACUGUUUGGACUAGGGGCCCUUCUCGGGUUACCGAAUUCAGAUAAACUCCGAAUGCCAUGUACUUAUACUCGGGAGUCAGACUGCGAGUGAUAAGAUCCGUAGUCGAAAGGGAAACAGCCCAGACCACCAGUUAAGGUCCCCAAAUAUAUGUUAAGUGGAAAAGGAUGUGGGGUUGCUUAGACAACCAGGAUGUUGGCUUAGAAGCAGCCACCAUUGAAAGAGUGCGUAAUAGCUCACUGGUCGAGUGACCCCGCGCCGAAAAUGUACCGGGGCUAAACAUAUUACCGAAACUGUGGAUGAACCUCUUUAGAGGUUCGUGGUAGGAGAGCGUUCUAAGGGCGGUGAAGUCAGACCGGAAGGACUGGUGGAGCGCUUAGAAGUGAGAAUGCCGGUAUGAGUAGCGAAAGAAGGGUGAGAAUCCCUUCCACCGAAUAUCUAAGGUUUCCUGAGGAAGGCUCGUCCGCUCAGGGUUAGUCGGGACCUAAGCCGAGGCCGAUAGGCGUAGGCGAUGGACAACAGGUAGAGAUUCCUGUACCAGUGCUAAUUGUUUAACCGAUGGGGUGACACAGAAGGAUAGGGAAUCGCACGAAUGGAAAUGUGCGUCCAAGCAGUGAGUGUGAG